UCAUGGUCGCAAUCUAUGAGCUGCUGCUCACUGAGGCUAACAAGCUCUUUAGUCGCUAGAAAAUGUGCUCCUUCAAGAGCUCCUGUCGCGCUAAACGACCAGCAUGAUCCGCACAUACCCUUUUCACAUCAAAAACACAUUCAACAUCUGAUCAUAAUUUUACUCUCUACAAUCGAAAUUUUUCAAAAAAGGGGGAAAAAACGUCCAUGAGCGAUUUCAGAAGCGAAUUGUCUAGUUCUGGAAACUUUUGCUGAUACUGAGGUCUUAUCACUGUUUCUCACAUACCUGGUUUUUAACGGGAGUGACGGCUCCUUGUUCACGCCAAUCGAAAUCCGUCGGGAGAUCGCUAGUCGGAAGGAUCGGCGCCUGUUGAGUGUCAGUGGGAAGACGGAACCGCCGUUUCAGCCCUAAGUACUUGCGACGGAACUCCUUCGGAGUGAGAUCUGAAAACUGCGUGACGCCGUGGACGGCGGUCGGAUCCAGAGCCUGGUGACGUUUAGCUCGCCUCAGGUUAGCCUUGAAGACACGGAAACGGUGAUCGUGUUCCUCCUGAGUCGCGUAAGUCUUCUCGUACUUGGAUUUGAAAAGAGCGAAGUGGUGCUCUGCGGUGAGGAGCUGUUCAUCGCUCUCCUCCGGGACGACUUGCCUGAUCGGAUUAUCGAAACUGAGGUCUACUACCUCGCCGGUGAUGGCGAUCAAUAAAGUGGCUGCGAUGAGGAGGAGGAAGACUACACGAUCCAUUUUGGUUUUGCUUCCAAGAGAUAAGGAAGUAUUGAAAACUGUUACGAGCUU
rnacentral:lncRNA from 1 species